rnacentral:rRNA from 1 species
UACGUAGGGUGCAAGCGUUGUCCGGAAUUAUUGGGCGUAAAGAGCUUGUAGGCGGUUUGUCGCGUCUGCCGUGAAAUUUCGGGGCUCAACCCCGAACUUGCGGUGGGUACGGGCAGACUAGAGUGUGGUGGGGGAGACUGGAAUUCCUGGUGUAGCGGUGAAAUGCGCAGAUAUCAGGAGGAACACCGAUGGCGAAGGCAGGUCUCUGGGCCACUACUGACGCUGAGAAGCGAAAGCAUGGGGAGCGAACAGG